UCAAUAUCUCUGAAUUUGUGUAUUUUCCUGUACAAAUAGGGGGGAAAGACGCAAAGGGAGGCAGCGAUGAGCUGAGCCUCCUCUCGGAUUGCGCAAUCCCUCGCAAACUGGAUUGAGCUGCUAAUUUUUUUUUUGCUCAACUUGAACACGUGCAAUUGAUCUCUCUGUAUGUCACCAAUGUAAUAUUUGUACACACUUUUAUUAUAUGUCCUCACAUUCCAUAGUCUAGGUCAUGUAUUUCACGUAUGUGUAUAACUUAUUAGUCUUGCAGAUCUGACAUAACGCCGCAGUGAAAAAGCAGGAGGGGAGGCAGCCAGUACCUCUGCCUUACUGAAGGGGGCGUGUGUGAGCAUACGGGCUUGUUCUGCUAUUGUUCUUCUUCAUGUAUUACAGACAAAUGGCAUUGUGGGUAAUAUGCUAACUAAAAAAGUCAAGUAGACAAAGUCAAGUGCACCGCAUCAGUCCGUUUAUUUUUAUUUUUUGCCCUGACAGCAAAAAUGGAAGAUUAUAUAUAUAAGUGACAACGAGUGACAAUGUCUGGACUACAACUGGAUUUUGUGACUUGAAAAAUAUACCAAGAAACCUCAGCAGACAUGAAAGUUCAACUACUCACAUUCAAAGUCAAAUUGAUUGAAAAACUUUUGGAAGCGCAAGGAUAGAUUUGGCUUUGAACAAACAGUGGAGACUAAAUAUUAGCGUCCACAAUGCUAAGGUAAAGGAAAACCGAGAGGCUUUAAAAGACCUCAUUAAUGCAGCUUGCUUCCUAGCCAAACAGCAAUUAGCAUUUCGUGGUAAUGAUGAGAGUAUGACCUCUUCUAAUCGUGGCAACUAUGUAGAACUUUUACAUGCUUCAGCUGAGAAAGAAGAUAGGUUAGCUAGACAUUUGGAGACAUCCACUGUGUUUUCUGGCUUAUCAAACAGAAUUCAGAACGAUUUAAUUGAAGCAAUAAGUGAUGUGAUUAGAAAUUAUAUAAAAAAGGAGAUUAAAGCAGCCCUAUUUGUUGCUGUAGAAGUAGAUGAGACAACGGAUGUCACAAACAAUGCCCAGAUCUCUUUCAUUUUGCGUUAUGUGGCUAAAAGUGAGGUGGCCUGUGAAGUGAGGGAGGCAUUUUUGGGAUUUGAUGAUUACACUACAUUUAUUCAUUUAGCAGAUGUUUUUAUCCAAAGUGACUUACAAAUGAGAAAAAUACAAGCAAAGCGAUAUAUCAAAAAGAAAACAAUACAAGUAGUGAUACCAUACAAGAUCCAUUAAUUGAGUUCCAGAAGAAGCAAAGUGCACAGAGUAGAGGUGUAAGUGCAAAUUUGUUUGUUUGUUUAUUUAUUUAUUUAUUUUAAUGAUUUGGUUAGGUGUUCACGGAAGAUGCGGGUCUUUAUCUGCUUUUUGAACAUGGUGAGAGAUUCUGCGGUCCGGAUUGAGGCGCCACGCUGAGUGGGAACUACUAAACGUCAGUCGCUAAUCGAUCACAGAUUGUGUGAGGCAGCUACAGGAAGCCAGUGGAGGGGGAUGAAGAGGGCUGUGACAUGGGUUCUCUUUGGCUGGUUGAAGAUGAGGCGUGCUGCAGCAUUCUGAAUCAUCUGAAGAGGUUUGAUGGAGCUGGCUGGGAGGCCUGAAAGUAGUCAGUUGCAGUAGUCCAGUUUUGAGAUAACAAGAGCCUGGACUAAUGAGUCCAGGCUAGAUGAUGUGAGUAAUGACAGACGAGUAAAGGUAAGACCAUGCAUACACUGCUGUACAGUCCAUGACAAAAAUAAAAGACCAGCCCCUUUUUUAAUAAUAACUAAAAAAAUGAUAUAAAACAAGAUAAGAAAAAAAUUGUUAUUUUAAAGAAUAAAACUACAUUUGUCUUUUUGUUGUGGACAGUAUAUUCUUUCAUUUGUAUUGAAUGAGUUUGAAUUGUGGAAUUGUGAUGGCAAAUUAAGAACACAUGGAGGGCGCAGAGCAAAUGUGCUCUCUCUGAGCCGCUAUAAAUUUAACGUUCUUCUUUGGCCAAAUAUGUACCUUACCUAUGUGUGUGUAAAGUAGUCAAUGUGCAAGCAGCCAGUUGAAUGGUGAAUUUAUUCUACUCUGUUGAAUUCAUAUAUUUGUAAAUCUAACUUUGAAAGAGUCAGUGCCUCCCCAGCCACGAACCUCACCGCACGUCACUGGCAGUAAUGGUGAAUAGAAACAAAAAUCUUACAUGCCCAUAUGCAUAGGAUUAUUUGCUUGCUGUCAAAUUCCAUAAAAAGUGCAUAUGAAUAUAUGUUAAAAUAUGAAUUAGCCCAUCCAUUUACACUUCCAUAAACAGAGCAAACAUUAGCUGUUUGUAUUGCCUAAACCCUCAAAGGUAAAAAAAAAAAAAAAAAAGAAAAAGAGAAGUUGACUUAAAAUACUAAAAACAUGCUGCACAGCUUUUUUUUUAGUUUACACAACUUUAAAAAUUACUUUUUUACUUUACUUUGUUAAGUGAACUACUUUGGUUAAAAGUUGAGUAAACUCAAAAAAGCUGUGCAGCAAGUUGUAAAAAUUGUCACCUGGAAAUCACAAGGAGGCAGUAUGAAUUUUUAUUUCAACUUUAAUAUAUUUUUGUAUGAAUUUUCAACUUUAAUGC
ensembl:lncRNA